rnacentral:rRNA from 1 species
AAACCAACAGGGAUUGCCUCAGUAACGGCGAGUGAAGCGGCAAAAGCUCAAAUUUGAAAUCCCCCCGGGGAGUUGUAAUUUGAAGAUUGCGUCUUGGAGGCGACCGUGUCUAUGUUCCUUGGAACAGGACGUCACAGAGGGUGAGAAUCCCGUGCGGCACGGCCCCCGGCUCCUUAUAAGGCGCUCUCGACGAGUCGAGUUGUUUGGGAAUGCAGCUCAAAGUGGGUGGUAAAUUCCAUCUAAAGCUAAAUACAGGCGAGAGACCGAUAGCGAACAAGUACAGUGAUGGAAAGAUGAAAAGCACUUUGAAAAGAGAGUGAAACAGCACGUGAAAUUGUUGAAAGGGAAGGGCAUGCCGUCAGAUUGUCAGUGUGGGUAAGAAGCGGGGUACAAAGACUGUGGAACGUGGCCCUCGGGUGUUAUAGCCGCAGUUCAUGCCCCGUCUCUUCCGAGGCCUGCUUGAGACACCGAC